UAUUUUUGCCUCGUAAUUGGUUCUGAUCCCGGACGAGCCGGGCGGAUUAAAAGGGAAACCGGUGUAAAUCCGGCGCUAUCCCCGUAGCUGUAAACUCCUGUAAUUCUGUUCAAUCUUCAAACCACUAUCUAAGUGUAAUAUGAUGGGAAGGUGUUGAACAGGGAGCAAGCCAGAAGACCUGCCAGUUACAUUGUUGCAUC
rnacentral:ncRNA from 1 species